CUCUGAUCAAAGGGCAAGCAAAUUCCACUCCUCGGAGCCUGCUUCUCAUCUGCAGUUUUAAAAUUAACCAGCCUAAAAUCCUCAUCACCUCCCUCGUGGUUCCUGGGGGUGUGCCUGAAGUUUGAGGGUCAGAGCAGGAAGUGAGGGGCCAGCCAGGCCGGAGGAGACCGAGCUGUGUGCUUGCUGCCCUCUGACCCCUGGGGCGGAGGGCAGGGGCCUCCGUCCACGGAAGGGACUCCUGCUGGGAGGCAGUCUAGGCCUUUGCUUUCUUUCUCUGCCCUUGGGCCCACCAGCAAUAGGCUAAUGUGCUUUCUGUGUUUCCACGAGAAGGUGGCUGAAGGCAGGAUCUCCCAGACUUUGAUCAGGAAGAGUCUUUGCUGGCAGCGCAUCUAUCAAUGUCUCCAGAACAACGUUCCUCAUGGCACACUGAUCGAACGCGGUGAGUAUAGCAGGUGAAUAAACUCUGGCCAAUGGCUAAGAUAAGGGAAAUAAUCCUUGUGUAGUGCUUUCAUCUUGCUUUCAACUUUAAAUGUUAGUUUUUCUUUAAGCAAGGCCUUCUGACUCACUGGGGCUCUUGGCGCAAGAAGGUGUGUUUGCAUUUCAAAGUCUUACGUUUCCCAACAAAGCCAAGCUCUGAAAACAUGUUUUGCUGUGAUGAAGACCUUUCUGAGAUUCUAAAGGAAAACAAAAGCACAACGAGGGUCCUGGUGUCGGUCCUCCCCAAAACUCAGAUUGAUAACUUUCAACACCCAGAAAUUGUUUGAGAACCUGACAACUCCAAGGAUGGCUCCAGAGGUUCCCGUCCUCCUUUGACAACAGUGCCUUCAAGGGCGGGCCCUCAUAUCAAACUGCCUUCUUUGCUCUCAGUCUGAACCCAGUACAAGCAACCCUAACGCUGCCUUGAGCACAAGCGUCUUGAUGGAGGUCAUCUCUGCUGAUCCCCUCCACGUCCUCCUGAACUCUCACUACUCCAUGUUCAUAUUCCCACACAGCCAGCACCCUACUGAUGCUGCCCCUGGUAAGGCCACCAGGGACCUCCUAACUGCCAAAUCCGAAGGGUUAUCUCUGGACCUGACCACGCUGGGCCUCUACUCACUGGAAGUGGCUGAUCUUUCCCACCACGUGGACCCUGCGGCCCCCACGCCCUGCAUUCCUCCUGCCGCUCUGGCUAAAAGGCUUCAGGCUUUUUUGGUGACCCUCCUUGCACACUCCACCCUUAACCUCCCUCUCUUCUCAUUCUACCAAUGCUUCUUCCACUUCUUUUUUCAAGGACACCUUUGAAAAUUUGCUGAAAGGGAUGGGAAGAGUUUCCCCAAAACAAAAUAAAACUCUGUAUUCACAGACACAUAAUAUUUUAAGUCACUUCAAGAGGCCUCUGGACAUCCUGAAGCCACAUUGGCCCUCUGCUCUCCUUUCUCAACUGGGGGAUGGCAACCACUCCCAGGCUUCAAGUGUCACCGGUGUGUUGAUGGCUCUCAAAUGUGUACCUGGAGCAGCCACCAUUCUCCAAAACUCUAAUCGUGCAUCCCCAAUUGCCCACUAGAAAUCUCUGUUCUCUCACAGCUCCUCCUGCUCCACGUGUUCAAAACCAGCCUGAGCAUCCCGCAGCCCCGUCUGACUUCUUCUCCGAGUGGAUGAUGCUGCUGUUCGGCCCGGUCACCGAGAGGAACGUGCUCUUCCUCUCCCUCCUGUUGCAGCGUCUGAGCUUCAGGCACCUCUCACCUCUUACCUGGGCUCCUGGAGGAGCUUCUGUUUGGUCUGCCCAACUCCCGCGUUGCCCCUUCAAAUGCCCCCUCCACUCCGCAGCCACCAUGACCCUCGCUGACCCCCCGCUCUGCUGACGGCAGGUGCCCCCAAGUGUGUUUCCAAGAAGAUGCAAUCAGUGUGCUGUAUUCAGUGUUAUAUGAACACAAAGGUUUUCAUGGUCAUGAAGUUGGAGAAAAGAGGGAAAAUUAGUUAGGUUUAAUUACUUUCCAGAGUCUUCGACAUGCUAAAACACAUUUUGGAGCUCCAACUGGGGGGUGCUUAAUAAAACCUUUGGCAAACUUUCUAG
ensembl:lncRNA